rfam:Fukomys damarensis contig137342, whole genome shotgun sequence.
GCCUCCAGCCAUACCACCCUGAACAUGCCUGAUCUCAUCUGAUCUCAGAAGUUAAGCAGGAUCAGGCCUGGGUACUACUUGGAUGGGAAAUGUUUUCAAAGCCAAUAAUUUCAAACA